rnacentral:rRNA from 1 species
GUGGGGAAUAUUGGACAAUGGGGGAAACCCUGAUCCAGCGACGCCGCGUGAGUGAAGAAGUAUUUCGGUAUGUAAAGCUCUAUCAGCAGGGAAGAAAAUGACGGUACCUGACUAAGAAGCCCCGGCUAACUACGUGCCAGCAGCCGCGGUAAUACGUAGGGGGCAAGCGUUAUCCGGAUUUACUGGGUGUAAAGGGAGCGUAGACGGCACUGCAAGUCUGGAGUGAAAGCCCGGGGCUCAACCCCGGGACUGCUUUGGAAACUGUGGUGCUGGAGUGCAGGAGAGGUAAGUGGAAUUCCUAGUGUAGCGGUGAAAUGCGUAGAUAUUAGGAGGAACACCAGUGGCGAAGGCGGCUUACUGGACUGUAACUGACGUUGAGGCUCGAAAGCGUGGGGAGCAAACAGGAUUAGAAACCCCGGUAGUCC